GCUGGAUGUGGUGGAACAUGCCUGUAGUUCCAGCUACUUGGGAGGCUGAGGCAGGAGAAUUGCUGUAGCCCACAAAUUUUAGACUAGUCUGGGCAACAUAGAAAGACCCCCAU
rnacentral:sRNA from 1 species